GGACCACUAGAUGUCAGGAAAUCCUGAAGACUCAAACAGCAGAAGCCAGUGUUUGCUUGGAUCAGUCGGUCGUAGACUGAUGCGCGACUCUCUUGAAGUCUGGAUUGGAUUUUGUUAUCUUCAACAAAUACAAUUAUAUAUAAGUUUAGAAGACUGAACAAAAUAUUAAGACCAACACUGCACAUAAUAUAAGGAACAGAUAAGGUGUUGCCGAGCAAUGCAGCAGAGACUAUUGGAACUCCACUUUUUCACAAUUUCAACGGAUGUGCGGAUGUGACUUAUCUGAUAUUUCUAUAUAAAUGAUAAAAAGGCAGUAGGCGUCGCAAAGUUUAAUAGCUAGCAAUAUAGGGACAAGAAAUAUCUAAAUAUCACGC